CGGAAAAAUCUGGUCACUGUAGUUUAAUAUGCUUUUCAGUAUAGUAAGCAUGAAGGCUAACGGUGGCAUCCAUUUACAAUUUUGUGAAAUAUAAAUUUGUUUUGUCCUUCUCUGCCACCGUAGGAUUAACAAACUGAAACUUACACCAGGAAAGAUGGUGCUUCAGAGAGACCAUUGGGCAAGAAAAGCGGAGUAUUUUCUGGCUGUCGGAGGAAAUAUUGUUGGCUUAGGAAAUGUCUGGAGGUUCCCUUACCUGUGCUAUAAAAAUGGAGGAGAAUCAGCGUCUUCUACAAUUUAAGGAAAGCCUCGGGAUUUCUGCUUUAAUGAGACAAAAAUGCUGAAAAGAAACUUGACGAAUUCAUCCAGAGCUGGACAUAAAGAUCACUGAAUUACUGACAAGAAUGAACAGCUGGAUAAGCACAUCUGGAGCCAAACUUUCCUUAUGAAUGCAUCUUAUCAAAGGCUGUGGUGGAGAGUAAAUAAGUAGUCUUCCGAACUGCAGCACAACAGUGUAAAUCAUUGAUGUAAAUAGAAUUAUUGAAAGACUAAGCUUUUGUCAUUUCUGUGUUCAUAAACUAUCUUCCAGUUCCACAAUCCCCCACAGUCACUGUCACAUUUAACGUUCCGUGCUCCUUACCUGUCUUGUUACCCAAAGCAUUAACACUGAUUUUCAUUCAAAGCUUUACCGUCCUUCCUUUCAUACACAUAAAAUAAGGCACACAGUUCCUCUACAUAUGUGUCCAGUAAUAAUAAUAAUAGUAAACUGUCAGGAAUGAGAAAAAGCACAAAAUGGGAAUAUUCAUGAGAAGAGCCUGGGGAUCAGGGUGAGGAGGUGCCUUAUCUCCCAUUACAUAAGCUCAUCUGCUGCUCCUCAAUUACACUGGCAUGCGUUACACUAGUGGCAAAUGCAAUGGAGAAUACCGACAAUGUACACCUUCAGAAGUGGAAUA